UUUAAUCACCGUGUUCACCAGUUAUGUGACUUUAUGUAACGGCUGCAGGUCGUCUGAACAGAGGAAGACGCUUCACCACUAUGUGAAGAAGAUGAUGACGACGGUGGAGACGAAGAGGGAGAAGAGUGUAGAGAGUGUAGAGAGUGUAGAGAGUAGAGAGUGUAGAGAGAGUAGAGAGGUGGAAACAGAAAAAACAAAUGUGGAGGAGAGAGAGCGUAAAAUAUUCAUUGCUAUCUGCUCUGUGGCUAUUUCUGCUGCUACACUACUGCAUACAACGCAGCGUGUGUGUGUGUGCGUGUGGGUAUGUGUGGUGU
ensembl:lncRNA